rnacentral:lncRNA from 1 species
GGGGGUUGUCUCCAGUUUCUUCCUCUCUCAGCAGCUUCCUCAUUGCUAUCUAGUGGAGACGCAAAAGACCUAUAUGGAAUCUGAGAGGCAUCUUCUAACCCAGUCCUGCAAGUCAGAUGGCAUCAAUUGCACUGCAUUGCGUUGAUCAAAAGAGAGUCAUAGGACGGGCAGAGAUUCUGGAGAAGGCAUGGCAGAAGGCUGUGCAUAUCACAAGGCAUGGCUCACUGGGGACCCACUCUGGAGACAAGUUCCAUGAUGUGUAGAUAAGCUAAAUGUGGAAGGUGGAAGGAGGUUUGUUUGCUCAUGAUUCCAAGGUUUGCUAGCCUGAGAAUUCAAGUCAUCACUGUGAUUGAGAUCUCCUGGGACCAAGGGCAGAGAAUGGAGAAGAGAGGCAAGAAUGCAGGUUUGGAAGAACAUCUGUAUUUGACGACUCAGCAUGGUGCUCAGUGAAGGGAGUGAAAUACAGACAUUUUCUUCAAGAAUGUAACAUGGAAUCAGGAGGCUUCUUUGUCACAGGAGACCCGUGAGCUUCCAGAAGGCAAACAAGGACAAAGGCAUCUCCUCCGCAGCAUUCCAGUCCCUGGAUGGCCUUUUCUUCCUCAUGGUUUUGUGCCUAGCCCUCAGCAUGGGCCUCAUGAGGACAGAACGUGUUCAUUGAACAUCGAGUGGAACCAUGGUCAUUCGGGAAUCAGGAACGUUGAGGCUCGUCCUGUUUUCAUCAACUGGACAUGAUGCAUCCUACGUCUCAGCCUCAGCUUCCUCAUCUGCACAGCACAGCUCUCCCGCUGUCCCCACCCCGACACACCCGCGGGGGCCUUGCCUUGGCAGCGCCCUCCUAGUCUAGAUGCCACACAAGACCGAGCCACAGAAAGGCAGGGGCAUCUCACUCACCAGUUUAUUCAGCAUGUCACCCAGGCCCUGGCAUGUGCUAGACACACCACAAACAUUUGGCAAAGUAAAUGCCUUUGACCUUUUUAGUUUAAGUUUACACAUUUGGCAAAAGUUGCAUUCUGUUCAUUGUCACUUCGCUUUCUAAUGUUUCUUUUUCUAUAAAUAGAGUCAAUACGGAAGCACGAGAACCUUCCUAUGCCUGUCACUGUCUCAUGGAUUUAUAAAAACAUGAGAGAACCCUUAAUCCCUGUUGAAAGUUUUAUUGUGGGGGUUCUAUAAAUUCAUUUAUUCAAAAGCGAAUCUAUUUAACACCUACUAUGUGCUCUCUGUAUUAGGUGCUGGAGAUAUAGCAGGGGACAAACUGAUAAAAACACUGGCCUUGUGGCACUUACAUCUGGUAGAGGCACUCACAUGAU